GAAAUGCGAUAAGUAAUGUGAAUUGUAGAAUUCAGUGAAUCAUCGAAUCUUUGAACGCACCUUGCGCUCCUUGGUAUUCCUUGGAGCAUGCCUGUUUGAGUAUCAUGAAAUCUUCAAAGUAAAUCUUUUGUUAACUCAAUUGGUUUCUACUUUGGUAUUGGAGGUCUUUGCAGCUUCACACCUGCUCCUCUUUGUUCAUUAGCUGGAUCUCAGUGUUAUGCUUGGUUCCACUCGGCGUGAUAAGUUAUCUAUCGCUGAGGACACUGUAAAAGGUGGCCAAGGUAAAUGCGGAUGAACCGCUUCUAAUAGUCCAUUGACUUGGACAAUACUUUUAUGAUCUGAUCUCAAAUCAGGUAGGACUACCCGCUGAACUUAAGC
rnacentral:misc_RNA from 1 species